GUAAUAUCUUCCAAUCAGAUAGCAAGAAAAAUUCACGCUGUCAACUUUGCGUUUUCCAUUUUUUCUGAACAUUCAUUUCUGUGCAGUAGAAAUCAUGCAUUAUUCCAAGUAUUCGUUGUUGGUGUAUUACAUGGUACUCAAUAAGUCAAUGAAUUUUUCGAUAGAGUACUAUAUAAUAACCAGUAACUCUAAGACUGUUAUUAGUAACUCCAACUUUUUCUUCAUGUGCAAUUAUAAUGUAUUCGGUAACCCCAAUCCUUCCUUCCCGUGGUAUGACAUUGUAUUAAAUAACCCUUGACCAUUCCUUUACGUGGUUAUUAUAUAGAACCCAGUAUCUGCGAGCAUCCUCUCUUGGUAUUAUAGGGUAUUCGGUAACUCUGAGCUUCAUUCACGUGGUAUUCUAUUGUAUUCAGUAUCUCUCAGAAUUCCUUCCCGUGGUAUUAUAUGGUAUUCAGUUACUUUGAGGCAUUUCUUCACGUUGUAAUAUAUGGUAUUCAGUAACUCCAAGCAUUCGUUCACGUGGUAUAAAAAUAGUCUUCAGUAACUUCGAGCUUUCUUAACGUGGUAUUAGUAUCUACUACCAUUCCUUCUUCUGUUAUUAUAUGGUAUUCAGUAUCUCCUACCAUUCCUUCUCGUGGUAUUAUAUAGUAUUCAGUAUUUCUGAGCAUUCCUUCCCGUGGUAUUAUAUUGUAUUCAGUAUCUUUAAGCAUUCUUAAUGUGGUAUUAUAAGGUAUUCAGUAACUCCAAGCAUUUUUCGGUAACUCCGAUCAUUCCUUCACACGGUAUCAUUAUGUAUUCAGUAUCUCCUACAAUUAAUUCACGUGAUAUUAUAGUGUAUAUCGUAACUCCUGGUAUACUUCAUAUGGUUUAUAUGGUAUUCAGUAACCCCGAAUAUUUCCCAUAGUGGCAUUAUCUUG
rnacentral:lncRNA from 1 species